GCCCCGACGUUUACUGCGAGGUUGUACUCGUUGCUGUUCCGCAGGACCUCCACCUUCGCCCUCACCAUCGCCGUGGGCGCCUUGUUCUUCGAGCGCGCCUUCGAUCAAGGCGCGGAUGCGAUCUACGAACACAUCAACCAGGGGAAGCUAUGGAAACACAUCAAGCACAAGUAUGAGAAUAAGGAGUAGUUCCUUGGACACCCCUACCCACGCUGAAAGGACCAGAUCCACGCACCAGCUGUUUGCCCAGAACCAGGGCCUCAGCUUGAAGAUGAUGCUCAGAUUACUCUUCAUCAACCACCUUUAGCUGUUGGCAAGAAACAGCUUCACCUGACAGACUCUUUGACUUCUGCCACAUUUGAAGUAUGUUGGAGUCAUCAAUAAAUAAAUGUAAAUUAUCCUGAGACAUGCUUCUGCAUCUAGUGCUUUGUUAAUUAUACCUGAUCUUCACUUGUCGGUUGAGACCACUUCAGAGUCCUCUACAAACAUCUGAACGGCAGAUUCCAUUAUUUUGGGUUCCCCAUUAACUUCCAAAGAACUCUGGUUUACAAAACAUGAGGUACAAUUGAAGGUGUUACUUUCCACUUUAACUUCUAAAUCAGUAGUUCCACUCUUUCUCUAUUUUUUUUUUUUUUUUCUUUUUAAAUGUAAGCUCUACAUUCAAUGUGGGGGCUCAAACUCAUAACCCUGAGAUCGAGAGUCUCAUGCUCAGGGUGCCUGGCUCAGUCGGUAGAACAUGCGACUCUUGAUCUUGGGUUGAGUUUGAGCCCCACGUUGAGUGUAGAGAUUACUUAAAUAAAUCCAAGAAAGUCACAUGCUCUACUGACUGAGCCAGCCAGGUGCCCCAAUAAUUCCAUUUUUAAAAAAGAUUUUAUUUAUUUAUUUGGGAGAGAGUCUGUGUGCAUGAACAGGGUGGGGAGAGGUAGGGGAAGGGCAGAAGCAAGCUCCUUGCUUGAUGUUGGGCUGGAUCCCAGGACCCUGGGACCAUGACCUGAACUGAAGGCAGAUGCUUAUCCUAUUGAGCCACCCAGGCACCCCAUUAAUUCCAUUUUUAAAUCAUAGAGAGGGAGGCUGACUGGCUUAACUAUAGGGAAGCCCUGGAUUCAGCUGGUAGAAAAACCCUAGCCCACGGGUCUUGGGCCACUCCCUGCCCCUAGGGUCCUCUCUAUGCUGCCAUUAAAUGCUGGCAUCAGCUGGCAUACCUCUCUGGGGCCAUCUUCUGAUGACGCAUCGCAUCUUCUGAUGACGAAGUUGGACCAAAUCUCUGACCAUCCUGCCAGGGUUUCCCUCUCUAAUAAGUUUGGUUUAUCAUGGUGCUUAUUUGGUGGGUUUGAAUCCUCACUCUACCAGUUUUAGCUGUGUGAACCAAGGACAAGGCACUUGACCUCUCUGAGCUUCAGUUUCCUGGUCUGUUACAUGGGGAUAAUGGAAGCGCUGUCUGUGUGGGUUCUUUGUAUUAAAGGAGUUAAAUGCAGUUAAAUGCUCACAGAUCCUGGCACAUGGACAUAACUGCUGGUAGAGACACAUGGGAUGCUUAAGGACCUGGAGAACCAGAAGACUGCCGGUAGGCCAUGGAGCAGCAGGACUGUGAAGAAGAGAGGUUCAAGGAACAUAGUCUGGUCAUUCAUUCAACAAACAUUUGGGUGGCCACUGUGUGAGGCACUGUACUCGGUGCUGCUAGGCAUAUGGUGGCAAACACGAGGCUUGAAAAUCCUACAGGAGAUACUGUAAAUGCCAUUCUAUAUCAAAUAUAUAUAGGACUCAUGUACUAUAGGAAAGUGUGUGUGAAAUGGCACCAUCUUAUAGGAUAUUUUGUACCUAGGUAUUAGUAUCUUCAAUGUGCAUACCUUUGACCCAAGAAAUUCCACUUGUGGCAAAUUUUCCUUAAAAAAUGUGGGUGUCGGGAUCCCUGGGUGGCGCAGCGGUUUAGCGCCUGGCCUGCCUUUGGCUCAGGGCGCGAUCCUGUAGUCCUGCGAUCGAAUCCCACGUCGGGCUCCCGGUGCAUGGAGCCUGCUUCUCCCUCUGCCUGUGUCUCUGCCUCUAAAAAAAAAAAAAAAAAAAUGUGGGUGUCCACAAGAGAUGUUCACCAUGGUGUUUUUUAUAAUGGGAAAAAUGAAAACAAAAUAUCCAAAAUAGGAAUUACUAUUGGGGUAAAAUAUGCAGUCAUUUAAAACCUUGUUUUGGGGAUCCCUGGGUGGCUCAGCGGUUUAAGCGCCUGCCUUCGGCCCAGGGUAUGAUCCUGGGGACCUGGGAUUGAGUCCCACAUUGGGCUCCCUGCAUGGAACCUGCUUCUCCCUCUGCCUGGUGUCUACCUCUCUCUCU
rnacentral:lncRNA from 1 species